rnacentral:lncRNA from 1 species
UAAAAUCAAAAAUAGAUAUAUCCUAAAUUAAACCUAACUAUUCAAAUCUGCCUAAAUCACAUCCAUAUUAGUCCGAUCUGCAGAACCGUCGAGGAAGAAGCGUGAACCGUGGCCACGCAGUUGCAGUUGCGGCCUCCUCCUUUCUCCACGAAGCUUCCUCUGCGGCUCGCUCCGUCUCAAAAUUCUCCGCACCAAAUUCGCUGGUGGGAGAGAGGGACAUGUCGAUGAAGAGUGGGAGGGAAGGACAGGGAAACGAGAGAGAAACGAGAACAGAUCAGAGCUUCGACGACAGGUCGAUGGAGUGUGGAGAGUGGGAUAAAGUGUGGGAGGGAGAGCGGCGCAGCAGGGGACGGUGGCGGCACAAUGGGCUGCAGCGGUUGGGAGAAGGAGCACAGCGGUUUAGAGAUUGAGGUAGCAGAUCGAGAGUGGUAGUGGAACAAAAAUAAGGGUUUUACGGGAUUUGGGUUAAGUGAGUGGUUCUAGUGGAAAGUAAAUAGCAAUAAAUCGAAGACAAAACAUAAAUCUAACCUGAGCCUAGUGGAAAGUAAUUUUGAAAUAGCUUAAGGUACCUGGGUUCGAAUCUCAUGUGGAACAAUUACUAAAUCUAGAAUUAAUUUUUCACUAAAUUUUUACAGCGGUUUGAUCAUAAACGCUGUAAAUAGUGGAACAAAACAUAACCGUUGUUAAUAGUAAUGGCUUUUACAGCGGUUCAUAUAUCGACCGCUGUAAAAGCUUAUAAUCCGCUUCGUGUUUCCGUCUUUACAGCGGCUACAAAACUUAACCGCUGUUAAUAGUAAUGGCUUUUACAGCGGUUUAUAUAUCAACCGCUGUAAAAGCCUAUAAUACGCUUCGUGUUUUCGUUUUUACAGCGGCUGCGAACUCAACCGCUGUAAUUGGGGCGCUGUAAAAGCCAUUUUCUGGUGUAGUG